ACUCAAAGGAAUAGACGGGGGCCCGCACAAGCGGUGGAGCAUGUGGUUCAAUUCGAUGCAACGCGAAGAACCUUACCUGGGUUUGAACUGUAUCUGAAGUUUCCAGAGAUGGAAACGUCUAGCAAUAGACAGAGACAGAGGUGCUGCAUGGCUGUCGUCAGCUCGUGUCGUGAGAUGUUGGGUUAAGUCCCGCAACGAGCGCAACCCUUGCCUCUAGUUGCUCGAUCGUAAGAUCAGCACUCUAGAUGGGACCGCCGGUGAUAAACCGGAGGAAGGUGGGGAUGACGUCAAGUCAUCAUGGCCUUUAUGUCCAGGGCUACACACGUGCUACAAUGGCCGGGAACAAAGGGUAGCCAAACCGCAAGGUGGAGCCAAUCCCAUCAAAACCGGCCUCAGUUCGGAUUGCACUCUGCAACUCGAGUGCAUGAAGUUGGAAUCGCUAGUAAUCGCGGAUCAGCAUGCCGCGGUGAAUACGUUUCCGGGCCUUGCACACACCGCCCGU
rnacentral:rRNA from 1 species